AGUGAACGCUGGCGGUAGGCCUAACACAUGCAAGUCGAACGGCAGCACCGUAAGAGCUUGCUCUUACGGGUGGCGAGUGGCGGAAGGGUGCGGAAUACAUCGGAUUCUACUUUUUCGUGGGGGAUAAUGUAGGGAAAUUUACUCUAAUACCGCAUACGACCUCUGGGUGAAAGCAGGGGUUCUUCGAGCCUUGUGGGAUUGAAUGAGCCGAUGUGGGCUUAGCUAGAUGGCGGGGGUAAGGGGCACCAAGGCGACUAUCGGUAGCUGGUACGAGCGGGUGAUCAGCCAGACGGGAACAGAGGAACGGUCCAGACUCCUACAGUAGGCAACGGUGGAGAAUAUUGGACAAUGGACGCAAGGCUGAUCCAGCCAUACCGCGUAGAUGAAGAAGGCGUUCGGGUUGGAAAGCCCUUUAGUUGUGAAAGAAAAGCAGCAGGUUAAUACCCCGCGGUUCUGACGGUACCCAAAGAAUAAGCACCGGCUAACUUCGUG
rnacentral:rRNA from 1 species